UGGAUGUGCUGAAGUAAAUAAAUUACCAAAUUUGGCAUGAAAAGACUCACAAUUGUUAGUUGUUCUUUCCAGUGUUGCUUCUUUUUUGGCCCAAAUACUGGGUGGAAAUGUUGCAUCCUGUUUUAUGUAUGUUUUGUCUAAAAUGCGGAGAUACGGUGCGUUCGUGUUUUCGACCGUGCGGAGAUACGGUGCAUGCGGAGUUACGGAUUCACAAAAUAUUUUUAUUCAUGCGGAGCUGCGGUGCGUCCAAAUUACAAAAGAAACCGUGCCAACUGUAAACACACCAAUCAGCAUACAGGUUUACUAGUCGGUACAACGACGGGUAUAUAUACGGGUGCACGCUCAUACAAAAUCAUCAGUCUUCUUCCACCUUUCAACACAACACUACACACCAACACAUUAGCGGGAAAGAGGAAGACAACAACCAGGAGCGAUUAGAAUCAUAAGCAGCGGAAGACAGGCGAUCCAGCGAAGGCGAAACGAAGAGCAGUAGAUACAACACAGGAGAAUUAUUGUGCCGGACGACCAGCAGCAAUCAUAUUCGGAAAUACAACCCGACGGAAAAUAAGUAGUGCCAGCGAAUCAAGAAGUAGUAUUCACACGACGGAGACGGUUAACGCACAUCGCCGGCGAGCCAAGAAACUAUCCUACGGCAGUAGUGAGUGAUUACCAGCGGCUUUACACGCGGUUCUCCUCCGCUACCGUUAACAGUCGAUCUACCCUUGCGACUACAAAAAGGUCCUUUUCAGGACCAUUACAAAUCCAGCGUGCCUGUCUAGGUGUUCGCCCCGAAUCUCUCGACCUAACAUUGACUUGUCCAAGUUCAUAAUUAGGGAGUCAGAUUUCAUUUCCCAUUAUAUUUAUAUAAUAUACUAUUGAUUUAUGCCCUUAAUAUUGUUAAAUUUAAAUCGCGCCUCCUUAGGCCCGAUACCGCCCGACACGAUCUACUUACUUAAGUCAACCGUGCGGCCCGGAUUAAACAAAUCCCUAAUAACUGUAAAUAAUUUAUUUUAAAAACAUUGUACAAUAAAUUUUAUGAUACCGUAAACAA